rnacentral:rRNA from 1 species
CGCGUAGGCGGCUUUAUAAGUCUGGAGUGAAAGUCCUCUUUUCAAGGGAGGAAUUGCUUUGGAAACUAUAGAGCUUGAGUGCAGGAGAGGUCAUCGGAAUUCCCGGUGUAGCGGUGGAAUGCGUAGAUAUCAGGAAGAACACCGGAGGCGAAGGCGGCUCUCUGGCCCGAGACUGACGCUGAAGCGCGAAAGCUAGGGGAGCAAACA